ensembl:snRNA U6 U6 spliceosomal RNA
GUGCUUGUUCGGUAGCACAUAUAAUAAAACCGUAAUGAUUCAGAAAAUUAGCUGGCCUUGCAAAGGAUGACACACAAAUUCAUGAAACACUCUUCAUAUGC